rnacentral:rRNA from 1 species
CCUACGGGAGGCAGCAGUGAGGAAUAUUGGUCAAUGGGCGCAAGCCUGAACCAGCCAUGCCGCGUGCAGGAUGAAGCAUCUAUGGUGUGUAAACUGCUUUUGUACAGGAAGAAACACUCGUUCGUGAACGAGCUUGACGGUACUGUAAGAAUAAGGACCGGCUAACUCCGUGCCAGCAGCCGCGGUAAUACGGAGGGUCCAAGCGUUAUCCGGAAUCAUUGGGUUUAAAGGGUCCGUAGGCGGUUUAGUAAGUCAGUGGUGAAAGCCCAUCGCUCAACGGUGGAACGGCCAUUGAUACUGCUAGACUUGAAUUAUUAGGAAGUAACUAGAAUAUGUAGUGUAGCGGUGAAAUGCUUAGAGAUUACAUGGAAUACCAAUUGCGAAGGCAGGUUACUACUAAUAUAUUGACGCUGAUGGACGAAAGCGUGGGGAGCGAACAGGAUUAGAUACCCUGGUAGUCCACGCCGUAAACGAUGGAUACUAGCUGUUCGGAGCAAUCUGAGUGGCUAAGCGAAAGUGAUAAGUAUCCCACCUGGGGAGUACGUUCGCAGAAUGAAACUUAAAGGAAUUGACGGCUGAGAGNGCGACGACGACGACGAGGGAGGAGG